rnacentral:rRNA from 1 species
UUAAGUUAUUAAGGGCGCACGGUGGAUGCCUUGGCACUAGAAGCCGAUGAAGGACGUUACUAACGACGAUAUGCUUUGGGGAGCUGUAAGUAAGCUUUGAUCCAGAGAUUUCCGAAUGGGGAAACCCAGCAUGAGUUAUGUCAUGUUAUCGAUAUGUGAAUACAUAGCAUAUCAGAAGGCACACCCGGAGAACUGAAACAUCUUAGUACCCGGAGGAAGAGAAAGAAAAUUCGAUUCCCUUAGUAGCGGCGAGCGAAACGGGAAGAGCCCAAACCAACAAGCUUGCUUGUUGGGGUUGUAGGACACUCUAUACGGAGUUACAAAGGACGACAUUAGACGAAUCAUCUGGAAAGAUGAAUCAAAGAAGGUAAUAAUCCUGUAGUCG